rnacentral:rRNA from 1 species
AGAGUUUGAUCAUGGCUCAGGAUGAACGUUGGCGGCGUGCCUAACACAUGCAAGUCGAACGGUAAGCGUCCUUCGGGGCGCUGAGAGUGGCGAACGGGUGAGUAACACGUAACUGAUCUGCCCUGUAGACUGGGAUAACAAUUGGAAACAGUUGCUAAUACCGGAUGAGAUCGCGCUAGUUAGAGAGGCGUGAUGAAAGUGAAUAGCGCUAUGGGAUGAGGUUGCGAGCCAUCAGCUAGUUGGUGAGAUAAGAGUUCACCAAGGCGAUGACGGCUAGGGGAUCUGAGAGGGUGGCCCCCCACACUGGGACUGAGACACGGCCCAGACUCCUACGGGAGGCAGCAGUGAGGGAUAUUGCACAAUGGACGGAAGUCUGAUGCAGCGACGCCGCGUGGAUGAAGAAGGUUUUCGGAUCGUAAAGUCCUUUUCUAUGUGACGAGGCAGGACGGAGCA